rnacentral:lncRNA from 1 species
CAUGCCUCGACCUGCAUCUAGUCGCGCGUGCCAUGACGGUCGAGGCCACAUGGCACGUCGAGGCCUGUAGGUGAUGAUGCCUUUGUUACUUCCGGCAACCAGGGAUGUAAGCUACUGCGGCCAUUCCCAUGUGUACGAGAUGCAUGUGGCGCACAGACCAGCCUCCCGCCCAGCCGCCGUGACAUGUGGCCACCUAGCACUUCUACGCCCCAUGCUUUUCUGUUGUUCCCCUGUACUGUAUCUAGAUCAAGCGUUGAUUCCUCCCCCCUGUCCAGUUCUGUAUUGUUUGUAAGUAAUUUUGAUGUCUGAAGUUCAGCUAUACGUGCAGGUGCAAAAAACUAAUGUUUUCCGUUGGUUUUAGUUUCACAGGUCCUUCAGAAAAAUGGGAAAAGGGGUUUUCUUCCAUAUUUAUCUACAAAAUGUAUCAAUGCCUCUGUUUAUAGGAGGCACGGAGAUGUUUCCUGGACGGAUGUGCAAUCUGGUUUAAAUGGGCGAUGGCACAAAAUUAGGCCUUUUAGGUGUGGGAAUGGCACUCUUCGCCAUGAUCGCCAUGAGGAAAAUCUACAACCUACUAAAAGGUAUAAUCUAAAUGCCCCAUGGAGUUCAUGUAUACCAAAUUUAAUAUGUACCUGCAUAGGGGAGAUGAUGCUUCCUGGAGUUUUCUUAGAUGCCCAUUUGAUUUCAGUUCAGCUGGUGCUUGUGUGUUCACAUGAAGACAGGAAUUGUGUGAGGGAGUAGAAAAGAAAAUUGUGGUAGAGAACAUGCCAUAGGCGUGGGUAAGUUGUGAUGUGAGGAAAUGCAUACACAUGUGUAUACAUUCCAAUUCUGCACUCAUAUGUACUCCUGCUUUUUUUGACACAAAAAUGUGCUCCUGCUAAGACAGAGAAACUACAUGUACUUCUGUAUUUAUGCUUAAAAAAUCACUGAAAAAACCAGCCCUAUUGAGUGCUCCAUGUACAUCAGUACAAUGUGUGCAAAGCUGAAAAGAAAAUACUAGAUAGCAUUACCUACGCUGGAACCAAUUUCAGUCUAUAUUCCAAUUCAACGGUGUUAGUCUGACAGAGAUGUUGUAGGCAGAUGUCAUAGCAUGGCUGCAGUUAACUACGAAACCAUUCGGAAGCAUGUCAUAGCAUGCAGCCCCAUCCCGUCACUUGAGUUCAGUUCAGCUUACCCAGACGCAUAAGUUCAAUUGUGUGUACUCAAGAAAUAACAGAGAUUGUUGACAAAAUCGUAGUAGUUCAAUGAAUAUCAUAAUGGAAGGAAUCAUGUUGCAAAGUUGAUUCCACCCGUUCCUGCAAAUUUUGUUGAUUGUGGGUCGUCAAAAUUUUAUUUGUCUAUCAUGUGCUGCUACUUCUCUGGUGCAUGCCCAGCUCCCGUCUGGACAUAUCUUCGGCCGCCGACCUGCUCCCGACGAGUGGCGCGUGCUGGUGCAUGCGCUUGUGUGCGUGCAUGCUGGUGAGUCUCGGCGUGCGUACAUGCUGAUGUGGUCUAUCUUCUUCUUCUACGCUGAUGUGCACAUGAGCAUUAGUACGAGGAAAAUGGAGACCGGCCGGAGCAAGAACUAAAAAAAAAGUUAAGCAAGAAGUUCAAAAUAAAAAAAGUACUUCAAAAUCUUUAUGGAUUUUUAACGUUUGUAAAAAAUAAGAGAAGUCCAACUUAAAAAGAGGAACAUAUCAAAAGAAUAUAUAAAAAAAGAUUUUCCCCAUUAUAAAAAAACUAGAAGUUCAAAUUAGAAUAAAAAGAACAACUAAAAAAGUUUAAAAAAAAUCCCGUUUCUUAAAAAAAGUAGAAGUUCAAGUUUAAAUAACGGAGCGGUUCGAUGCUUAUUACAAAAUCAAGAAGUCCAAAUUACAAAAACAGAGCAGUUCGAUAUUUAUAAAAAAUAAGUGAUAGAUGUUCAAGGUGAAAACAACGGGGAGUUUAACUACUAAAAGAAUGCGUUUCAGAAAAGAAUAUAAGAACAGAAAAUUAAAAGCUUAAAAGGUUGUUGCAAGAAGUUCACGUGCUCCUCCUAGUAUUGUUCAAAAUUCAUGCGUGAGACGCCCGACCAUCCAUUUACAUGUUGAAAAGGGGCAAAAACGACGUUGUUUUUGCGAUUAUUAAAUAGUGUGUGUGUGUGUAUAUAUAUAUAUAUAUUAAAAUAAAAUAAUCUUGUGGAGUGGAUAAUGCUUGUGCCCCUGGAUGCUGGCCAUGUGAGAUUUUGAUGGCAGUGUAGUGAUGACAAGUUCAGAAGAUGUACUAAUGAAAAGAAAACAGAUUAGUCGAGAUGACUACCUUCAACUAUUUUUCUUCUACAAUAAUUCUGUCACUACCUAGUGUUUUUCUAUAUGUACAUUAAAAAGGCUUAUAUGUAUGUAGCUACAUGUGUUUCUAAAUAGACCACAUCUAUUGGAUUUUAUGGCAAUCGGCAAAUUAAAAAUAUGGCACUACCCAUCCUUGAUGAAUACUGAAUAUUGUUCUUAGGAGAAGUUCAUGUGUAUAAAAAUGUUGUUAAUUAUAAAACCAUGAAUUUGGAAUUAUACACUAAUAAAUUUUCCUAUUUGUAAAAAAAAUCUAGAGGUUCAAAUUUAAAUAAUGGAGAAGUACAAUGUUUAUUACAAUACCAAGAAGGUGAAAUUAAAAAAACCUGAGCCAUUCAAAAACUUUAUAAAAAAUGAUUUUCCCUCUUUUGGAAAAGACCUAGAAGUUCAAAUUUAAAUAACACCAAGAAGUCUUGAAGUAAAAAAUGAAGCUAUUUGAUGUUUAUAAAAAAAACUCAGAUUUCCCUAAUACUGAAGAUUAAAACCAAGAAGUUCAAUUUUAAAAAAUGGAGUAGUUCAAUGUAUAUAAAAAAUUCAGGUUUUCUCGUUACUAAUGAGUACAACUAAGAAGUUCAAUUGGAAAAAGCGGAGCAGUUUGAUAUGUAUUUGAAAAAAAUUAUUUUUUAGUUACUAAAGAAUAAAACCAAUAAGUUCAAUUCAAAAUAACAAAGAAGUUUGAUGUUUCUAAAAAAAAUCCAAUUUCACAUUUCUAAAAAAACACAAUGAAGUUUAAAUAAAAAAGGUAGAGCGGUUCAAUGUCUAUAAGAAACUCAGAUAUUUUCGCGUAACCGAGAGAAGUUCGGAUUGAUAACUCCCUGAAGUUCAUGUACUAAAGGGUGUGCAAUUUGUAUUUAAAAAAGAAUGAAAAAGAAAAAGGCUAAAAAGUUUUGUUGCUAGAAGUUCAAGUGCUCGGCUCAAGAAAGUUCAAAAAUUCUUGUGAUAGAGGUUGAACAAAAAUAUGUGACAGAAGUUCAAGGUGUAAACAGAGGGAAGUUCAGCUACUACACGAAAUGCGUUUCACGUAAGAACAUACGAAUAGAAAACAAAAAAACUUAAAACGUUUGUUGCAAGAAGUUCAUGUGCUCCUCCUAGCAUAGUUCAAAAUUUAUUUGCAGAUGUCCGUCGUUCAUUUACAUGUUGAAAAAAAGCAAAAAACAAUGUUGUUUUGCCAUUUUAAAAACUGCUCUCAAAUGGCAACGAAUUUGUAACACCUGUCUACAUGAAAAACUUGCUGCGAUUCAUAAGCUUUCCACCAGGUAUAUUGUGUGCCACAUUUCAAUGAACGGUUUAAAAUUUUCAUGUAUACCAUUUAAAACACGUUUUGAUGUAUUCAAAAAAUUCUUAACUGUUAAAAGAAGUUCAUAGUGAAAACAACGAGAAGUUCAAGUACUGCAAGGAAUGCAUUUCAGGUGCGAAUAAAAGUAUAGAAAAAUAAAAGCUUAAAAGGUUUGUUGAAAGAAGUUCAAGUGCUCUGUCCGGAGAACUUCAAAAAUUCUUGCGAGAGAGGUUCACCUUGUAUUUCCAUGUUUGAUUUUUCCUAUAUAAAAAUCGAAUAUAAUUCCUUACUCAAAAUAUAAAAAGGUGAAGUUCAAAUUGAAAUAACAGAGAAGUUCGGAGUUUAUUAAAACCUAGGAUUUACUUGUUCAACAAAUAAAAAACAUAACCCCAUCUUUUGCACUUUAAAAAAAACUCAUAAAAGAAAAAAAAUGGUUGCUAGAAGUUUCAAGUGCUCGGCGAGGAAAAGUUCAAAAAAUUCCUGUGAGAGAGGUUCACCGUGUAUUUAGAUAUCCAAAAUACAUAAAAAAAUAUGUUGUUUUUUGUGUUUUAAAAUAAUUAUCUCAAAACAGAGAGAAGUUCGAAGUGAUAACAACUGGAAGUUCACAUACUACAUGGUGUGUAUUUCAUAUAAGAAAAAUACAAUAAAGUGAAACAGUGUGAAGUUCAAACAGACAUGCCCCAGAAGUCCAACUACUUCACGUAGUGCAAAAAACAACACGUCAAAAACAGAGUGAAGUUCAAACAGACAUGCCCGAGAAGUUUAACUACUUCACGCAGUGCAUUUCCAUUCACGAUGAAGGCAUAAAUCAUGAUCUCGUCAUUUUCUAAUUUAGUUCAAAACGGCAGGAAUAUCAUUUGUGUAAGUUCAAGUACUCGGUAGGAGAAAGUAAAAAAAACAUAUUGUGAGAGAGCUUUGCAAAAAAGAAUAUCAUUUGUGCAACACUGACGAAAUGGAUGAGAAACUUACAAAUGAAAAUAUGUCAAAGAAGUUCAACGUGAAAACAGCAGGAAGUUCACCAACUACACUGAAUGAAUUUCAGAAGAAAAACUUUUAAAAUCGUCGCGAGUAUUGUUGGGGAUAUUACCACUGGGCGUAAACCGGCUAGGAGAGGACGGGUUAACCCCAUGAGUAGUUCAUAUGUAUCUGAAGUCCAUGAAGACAGACGGUGACGCUUCAAGUAGGCCCAGGGCCCAAAGCCGGUUUAAGGCCUGUAGACAUAAACCGGCAUUCAUAUGUAAACUUGUGUUGUAAGAUAGAAGUUGCAGAGACCGAGCCGGACACGAUUAUGAGCCGGCCUCGGGAUUCUGUAAACCGGUGGGCGUCAACCCAUGUAUAUAAGGGGACGACCCGGCGGCGGUUCAAGGACAACAGACAACAACUCGAGACCCAGGCAAAGCGUAUUCGCUCCCUGGUCAUCGAAACCCCAUCAAUUCCAUCACAACUAGACCUAGGCUUUUAUCUUCAUCGUAAGGGGCCGAACUAGUAUAAAACUCUCUUGCGUCCCUUGUCCGCUUUAACCCCUUUAAGCUAACCCGUAUCAAUGGCUCCACGACUAAGUCCUUUCUCUAGGACAUCUGCCGUGACAAAACCACGACAAGUAUGAACAAAUGAUAAACACGGGAAAGUUGCGUGUUUACAGCAGCUUUCUAUCGGUAUAUCACUUGCUCAAUUUCGGUGAGUGGAUGGAGAGCUACAAGCAAAAAAAACACGUGAAAAAUAGAGUGAAGUUCAAGUAGACAUCCCGAGAAGUUAAAGUUCCUCACGCGGUGCAUUUUCGAAGAAUCUGUUUCGCGAUAAAGGUAGAACGAAUGAUCUCGCCGUUUUCGAAAUUACUUCAAAAUGGCUAGGAAUCAUAGAAAACCAUCAACAUGAAAAAGUUUCGCAUUUUCCUUAGCUUUUCAACAGUAUAUUAUUUGCCUCAUUCCGAAGUUGUAAAAAUUACGGUGAAAAAACGUUUUUUCCAUUUUCAAAAUUAACAUAAAACUGUAAAAAGUUGGGAGAAAAAAUAUAUACCAAAAAGUUUCGCAUUUGUUCAAGCUUUCCAACACCGUAUCAUAUGCUGCAUUCGGACUUACGGUUAAACAAUUAGCUCGAAAAUACGAACUCGGUGAAACUUGUACCGUUUUCUAAAUUACUUUUAAACCUUUCAGAGUUAGAAAAAACUUUCAACACGAAAAAUUAGCGCAUUUCCAUAAGCUUUCCAAUGACAUAUCAUUUGCCUUAAUUGGAUUAGCCAUUUAGAAAUGACAUAGAAAAUACGAACUCGGCUGUUCAGUUUGCGAAAUUUUACGAUUUUCCAAAUUACUCUUUAUCCAUAAGGAAUUAAAGAAAACUUUCGACAUGUAGAAGGAGCGGUUUUAGAGCAGCUUUCUGACGUCAUAUUAUUUGCCUCAUUCCGAUAAACGGUUUAGAAAUGCGAUCGAAAAUACGAUUCACGUUUUUUCUAUGAAGAAAAUAUGGUUUUCAAAACUGCUCUUAAACCGCUUAUAUUUUGCCAAAAAUUCAACUUGGGUCAUAAUACUGGUAUCCAUAGCUUUCCAACGGUAUAUCGCAAGCACUAGGAGAAGUUCAUGUCGAACAACUCAGGCAGUAAAAUUGCAAAAAACGCAAUUUCAUCACGACCCGAGAGCAAAAUCCGCCAACGAGCGAGAUUCAUAUUUAAAACGGGUAUUUAGUUGCUAAAAAACGUUUCUAGAUUACACUAACAUCAUAUAGAACACAACUAACCAGAAUAAUUCGCGCGGGGAGACACAGUUGCGAAGAUAGCCCGAAGGUCGGGUUCGUAGAGAGGUAAGUUCAGGCGUGUAACUCAGGAAGUUCAUGUUGUGAUCAGAAUAAUAUUCUGAUCCCUUGAUAAGAAUAGUGUUUAUGUGUGUGCAUAUACAUACAUACAUAUAUAUAUAUAUCACUAUAUAUAGGGAUUGACUAUUCGUCACCCUGGGUGAGGAAUAGUGAUUCUUCACCCACCUCUAUUUUAACAUCUAUGGACCGUAAUUUUACAUUCCGUAAGUUUUGUCUUAUUUCCGACGUAAAAAGAGACCAUAAGAAAAUAUAUAAUCAUUGUAAAAAAUAUUUUAUGUUAUGUAAAAUUACAAACGUAAAAACAUAGUGUAAAAUACACAUAAACUGCAAAUUUUCUUGUUUUAUGACCUAUAUUUUUAUUUUCUUAUGCCAAAUUUUACGUAGUGAAUCAAUAAAAAUAUAACUAUUUGAAUUCCAAACGUAAUUUAAUUAUGAAAUGAUCGUAAUAUUACCUCGGGUGAAGAAUAACUUAUUCUGCACCCUGGGUGAUGAAUAGUAUCACUAUAUAUAUAUAUAUAUAUAUAUAUAUAUAUAUAUAUAUAUAUAUAUGGUGGGUCUAUUAUGGUAACACCCCUUAAGAGUCUUAUUCUAAUAACACCAGCCUUAUUCUGCACAUCCCCCACCUGAUCGCCGCCGCCCCUCCCCUCCCGACCUUCUACCCUGGCAGCGGCUUGGGAGCGCCGCCGCCCCUCCCCUCCCGACCUUCUACCAUGGCAGCGUCCUGGGAGCGCCGCCGCCCCUCCCCUCCCGGCCUUCUUCCGCGGCAGCGGCCUGGAAGCGCCGUCGCCCCUCCCCUCUCGGCCUUCUUCCGCGGCAGCGGCCUGGAAGCGUCGCCGCCCCUCCCGUCCCGGCCUUCUUCUGCGGCGGCGGCCUGGCAGCGAUGCCCCCUCCCCUCCCCGCUUUCUCCCGCGGCGGCGGCCUGGGAGCGCCACCGCCCCUCCCCUCCCGGCCUUCUUCCGCGGCAGCGACCAACCAGCGACGCCGCCCAUCGCCGCUCGGCCUUCUUCCGCGGCAGCAACCGAGCAACGCCUCCCCCACCAGUAUAUCGGCCUUCUUCCACGGCAGCAGGUCGGUAGCGCCGCCGUCGAACUCCUCCGGUCCUGCAAUUAGCUGUACUUCAUCAGAUGUGGAUUGGUGCUGCCUCGACAUCAAACCAAUUCGAGCAAGGAGGACUGUGCGCAAGGUUCCUUCAUCCACGGCAACUUCUUGGAUUAAGUCUGCAACGACCUUCAGAGCAAAUCCUCCGUCUCCGUUCACCUUGAGCAACGUCCAGACCGCUCAUGAACUUUUGAAGGGCAAGUGGACUGCACAGGCGAACGCGAAAAUUGUGCAGACGGACGAGAAGAGAACUUCCUCCUGCAAACGCAAGAAAUCACUGCAACACGAGGUAAGCAGUACACUUCCUCAACCAUAUCAAUUUAGUUAUUCCAGACAAAGCAGUACAUGCAGUCCAGUACGCCUACAAAAACGAUGUAGUGCGGUUGCUUCGGUUCGUUGUGGGGGAAAAUGCAGUGAACUUGCUCGGUUAUGCAGUACGCUUGUGUAGGUUCAUUACGGACAACGAUGCAGUGUGGUUACUUUAGUUCACAUUGCAGGGUGAUGCAGUUAGCAUGCAUUAGUUUCGCAGUACCAUUUGUAACACAUUGCAGUUCGCAUGAUUCAGUUCAUUUUGACUGACAAUGCAGCUCGGUCGUUUUGUGUGCAGGAAAUGACGUUCAGCAGAUACAAAAUGCCGCGCAUAAUUGACAACCUAGUGAACAACAACUUUCAGAAGAGUAAAGCUUCUUCUGAAAGAGAUACUGGCUGGGUUACCCCUGAGAUUCCUCGAGGAUUCUUCACGACAACAAACAGGGUGCACUACUCUCCGGAAGAGGAUUUUUUCCAGGGAGAAGAGGUAGUCGAGGAUGACGAUGAUGUCACCUUCAUCUGGGAGGGCACUCACCGACAGGAGGAUGAAAUGAUGACGAUGAAGAUGACCCAAUAAUAGUUCUCAACCCAGAGUAUAAGCACGAGUUCACUACGUUUGGACAGCAUGUCCAAACAGACAAUGAUGAUGCAGUUGAACACGAUGUUGCAGCAGAUGAUGAUGAUGUGCCACCGCUCCAAAAUUUUCAAACCAAUCCACCGAGACAUCGUCACAACACUGGAUUACCACCACGUCCACCUGCUGCACCCCAAAACAGAGCUCAGCGUCCACCUGCUGCACCAAAAAACAGACCUCCAAGCAGAGCUGCUGCAUCAACUUCGACAAAGCGACCACCAACGAUGCCUCGGUCAAAAGUCAACAGCAGGUACAAAUCCUCCUCACUAUUGCCACCGCGAGAUCCUCAACUACACAGAUUUGCUAUAACCCCGCCAUGUCCAAUACAACCCGGCGAGCUGCAAAUACCAUCGGGUGAACGACUCUACACACAUGUAAGUUUAUGUUCUGAAAAAUAAUAAUAAUAGUUGCAGUCCAUUCAGAUAACAUUGCAGUGCACACUGAUAUUUCUUGUGAGAUUAGACCUAGCAUCUAAUACAUUGGAUUCUUCUGAAAACUUAGGAACACUACAAUGCUUUUUUAAACUCGUAUGCACUCCUCGUAUUUAAAAAACAGAACAGAACAAAUUAUCUCUAGAGCAUUGCACUUAAUGCAGGAUAAAAACAUGCCGCUGAACCUCAUACCUGCCGCUAGAAUGAAGUUCACCACAUACGACAAGGCAUGGGACUUUUACAACAAUUAUGCAAGAUGUGCAGGGUUUGGCAUACGCUAGAGGGCACAACACAAGACAAAUACCUACAUUGUCUGCUCAAGAGAAGGGACGCACAAGCAGACUGUGUCAGAUUAUCAAAGGAAACAUCAUAAGACAUAAAAAAGGAUUGACUGCAAGGCAAAUAUUAGAGUCAAAAAGAGGAAGGAUGGCAAAUUUGUGAUAGAAAUGGUUGAACUCAACCACAAUCACAAGAUGCUGGAAAGCCCCGGGAUGCUUUUGCACACGCGAUCGCACAAAAAAGACGAUCCUUUGAUAGACCAGUUAGUGAAAGACAUGCAACUAGACAACCACACACAUGCUCAGAUGAUGUCAACGCUGUCGCGUAUGUCCGGUGGUCUGCAGUACAUGGGACAUACUAGCCGCGACUGGGUAAACAAGUAAGCACAUCACAUAACAUAUCGCUUGAGCAUCCUCUCGGUAAUUAUUUCCUGUUUGAUGAGAUGAGUUUGCAUUGCGUUUGAAAAUGCAGGAAACAAAAGUUUGCCAGAGAAGAGUCCCAAGAUGAUGUCAAGAAACUUCUGGAUUUCUUCGAGAUGAUGCAGAAGAUAAACCCAGAGUUCUUCUAUGAUUAUGACGUUGAUGCAGAUAACCGUGUAAGAAACGUCUUUUGGGCCAACGCAAGUUGCAAAGGAUCGUAUGAAGAUUUUGGAGACUGUGUUACAUUUGACACGACGUAUAAAACUAAAAAAUUCCACAUGCCGCUGCGAGUCUUCGUGGGAGUGAACCAUCAUCUACAGAGCACCAUAUUUGCUGUUGCCCUCGUACAAGAUGAGACAAUACCAUCGUUCGAGUGGGUUUUCAAAACAUUUCUAAGGUGUAUGAACAACAAGCCGCCAAUCUGCAUCCUCACAGGUACAAAAAAACCCUGCAUACUUACGUUUGUUUGGUGCACUUAUAUUUCUUCCAUCUAUCUUACACACACAAACAACUUAAUAAAAAAAACACUAUUUGUGCCUUCUCAGACCAGUGUUCUUCGAUGAAGGCAGCAUUAAAAACUAUCCUCCCACAUACUCUGCAUAAGUUGUGUCGGUGGCAUAUCAUGAAGAAGUACAAAGACCACCUCGCCUUGCUGUAUAAGGCGCGAGAAACUCAAGGAUGAUCUCAAUGCGGUGCUCAACCACCCAGUAAUGCCGUCAGAAUUUGAACGAGCAUGGAAGGACCUCAUUCAGAGAUACAACUUGCAAGACGACGAAGUGAUGAAUUCGCUGUGGGAAGACAGGCACGAGUGGAUCUCGGCUUACUACAAGGAAGUUUUCUGUGCUCGGAUGACUUCCACGCAGAGAAGCGAGAGCAUGAACCGCAUACUGAUGCAAAACUUUGUCAAAGGGAAGCAUGAUCUCCAUCUGUUUGCUUAGCAGGUGGACAAGUGCAUUCAGACCAGGAAGGCCGUCGAGCACGCAGAGACAGUAGCAAAUGAGGUAAACAAAUAAGGUCCAUCAAAAACUGCUAAAAAAUAUAACUACAGAAACAAACAAUUUUUUCAUUCAUCUGGUUCGUAACAGUGCAUUUCUGAUCAUGCAGUCAGAAGUAAAGACAACAACCCAGUUUGGGUUCGAAGUUCAGCUAUCAAAAGAGUAUACAAGGGUAGUGUUUGCAGAUUUCAAAGAAACACUCUACCGUAGCACUGCAUUCAGAGCAGAACGGUGCCCUGAGAACCCGACAAAGUAUCUCGUACACCACUACAACAGAUCGGAUGCAUUUGACUGGGCAAGGCAUAAUUUCCAAGUAGUCGCCGAUGAACAGAAAGGUGUCUAUGAAUGUGAAUGCAAACUCUGGACACACACAGGUGAGACUCCUAUCACAAAAAAUUCUAGUUUCUGAUAGUCAUGCACGAAAGCUCACUUACUGGACUUUAAAAAGUCCACAUGCAUGACUAAUUCACAAAACCAAAUGAAGUUCACUUCUUUAAAAUGAACAAAUAACGAAAAAAAUAUGUGUUUAUUAAUUUCAUGCAGUUCACUUACAAAACAAAGAAAUCAUGUGUUGUCUGCAGGGCUCUUUUGCGUCCAUGUGUUAUGCAUGCUUUCUUAUUUGAGAGUACUCAAGAUUCCUGAGGUGUACAUCAUGAAAAGAUACACCCGUAACACAAGAUCAAAUGCGACGUUUGACAGAAGAGAUUAUGAACAAACAGCACCAGAUGGAACAUCGCUUUUUUGCCGUAGAAAAUUGCUGACAGAAACAGCAAUGGAUCUUGCAAACAGAGCGACAAGGUCCGACGCUGGGUGCCACAGAGCGUUGUCUAGUAUGAGGGCACUGAUCGAGGAAGUUGAUGUGCUCAACGAAGAAGAAGAAGAAGCAGCAAAACUAAAGCAAGCAGAGAAAUCCCAGCAUGACAAUAAUGCCGAGCAAGUAGAAAAUACCGAACGCAGCGGAACUGGUGCUAUCAAAAAAGAAACAAUUCUUCCACCUCCUGUUUCAAACACAAGAGGAAGGAAGAAAGGGCGUGACACAACCCAGAAAAAGGUUGCAUGCAAGGAGAAAAAUGAUGACAAAAACAGUAAGCCACAGCCUGAGCUGGACAGUGAUGGUCACCCACUGGGAAUAAACAGGUGCAAGACAUGUAAUGAAAUCAGCGGCCACAAUUCCAGGACAUGUACAAAAAGACAUGAACAGGAAAAACGAGGACAUGGCGAUGCACAACCAAAUAGAAAUUCCACUCACAACACUAAGAAAUGGACGAAACCAAGACGUUGUAGCAUCUGCAAAAAGAGGAAGAGACACAAUUCAAGAACCUGCCCCAAAAGAACAAGAUCAGAAAAUGAGGAAGACGAACAAGAUGAAAUCAAACAAGAAGAUGGUGACACAACUGAAGACGAAAUAGCUUAUGAAGAAGCACAUGAAGAAGAGGAGGAAGAAGAAGAGAGUGAAGAGGACGAAGAACAUGAAGAAACUGAAGAAGCAGUGCCUUAUGAAGAAACAUAUGAUGAAGAUGAGGAAGAGGAAGAAGAGAGUGAAGAGGACGAAGAACAUGAAGAAAGUAUGCCAACAAGAAUACCACAAGGGAAUGCUGCUGUACAGAAACAACCGAGAACGACACCACUUUCAAAAAACAAGGUAGGAACACAAAAGGAUGCAGUUCACAGCGCUGGAAAACGAAAGCCACCAUCAACAAGCAAGCGGGGAGCAAGGAAGGAUGCAGUUCACAACACUCUAAAACAAAAGCCGCAAUCAACCAGCAUGAGGGGAGCAAAGAAGGAUGCAGUUCACAGCACUGGAAAACGAAAGCAGCCAUCAACCAGCACGCGGGGAGCAAAGAAGGAUGCAGUUCACAUCACUCAAAAACAAAAGCCACCAUCAACCAGAACGCGAGGGACUACAAACACAACGGUGCAGAGACAAGAACCAGCAACACCGCCACGGAAAACAAAAGAAAGGGCGACAUUAGACACGCUCCAGUCACCGCGGAGAAGCAGCAGGUUAACGACCAAAUAGAUGAACUUCAAUAAAUUAAUCAUAUGCAUAGUAGUUUGCUUAUCUGUAUGACUUAUGUAUCAGUUUAAAUUCGUGUAAAACACAAAUUUCUCACUGACUAUGAGUUAUUCAACUAAACCAUCUAAAGACAAAUGGUGUAUAUAGUAUACCAUAUAUAUAGCAGUCUAGAUUAAAACUGUUACACAUAUUAAACCAAAAACGAUGUAAAAAAUGCAGUUAGCUCACUGGCAGCACGAAGUUCGGAAUAAUUAUUGAAGCGGUUCAGAUCACAAAAGUACUUAUUACAAAACACAUAAAAAAGAUGAAGCGUUCGACAUGCAAAAGUACUUAUUACAAAAUCAACCUCAUAACCUUAACCAAUCACGUCAAACGUGAUUCUAACCAUACGAUCCUCGAGUUCAAAGAAGUUGAGGACAACAACUUGCUCAGACUUCAGGCCACUAUCAAUGACAAAUUCCUUCCACCCUUUCUGCAGACACAACCGCCCGUCAAUGCCUACAUGUUACUUGGCUGGUUUAAGGUGUCCAUUACCAAGAACAACUUGGAGAAUUCCCUUCUUCUUGAGCCGGAGAUACCUAACAGCUCGUUGGGGAAUUUUCUGCAAAAAAGCAGUACAUAUUAAACGCAAUCUAAUGUGCAGUGCGGAACUUGCAAACAAGAAGUACGGUUACAACUAUUAUGAAGAUCUUGAGAGUACCUACAUGUAGUACAAAACCUACAAGCGGGGAAAAUUGUGGAAACUAUUACUUCUCAUCUAGUAUCUAAGAAGUUCACAUAUUGUAACCAUGCAAAAUAAAACACGAGCUCCAUGCACACAAGCAAAGAAAUAAAAACAAGAUAUAAGUACAAAGUGCAGUACACUUCAAUAAAACAAAAUAAGUACAUUCCUAAAAAACUAGAAGUUCAGACUAGUAUGGAAUUAUACAAAAAAAAAGAAAACACAAAGAAAAAAAUCAGAUGAAGCAAAAAUUACCAUCUUGUAGUGAGUCUCAACAUCUGUUGGCGUAAGCUGAUGGAUAAAAGGACUUGUGCGGCCAAGGCCACGGCGAAGCAGGGCGGAAUAGAACGCAGAAACGUUGAUGUGGCCCAUAUCCAAUCCUUCUGUGAAUACUAUGCCAUAUGCAAGCUGCUCAGCUCGCCCAGCUCGGCACAAUACCUUCCCCCCACGACGAGCAUGACGGGCCUGCGAGCAAGCUAAGCAAUCGCAGUGCAUCGGCACACCACAACCAUGCCCGCAGCAGGAGAGAUUCACGCAGGGGCCUGGAGCCAUCGCAACAAAAACCUAGAAAAGGUAAAAAAUAAAGAGAGCCUAUAGAAAGGAGAGGAGUUGCGGCUAGAGGAGAAAUGAACUGCAAAGGAAGGGUAGAAGUUGGCCUACAUUUAUAGGAGAGGAAUGCAAAAAGGUCAAAACUGAAAAUUAAAGAGGAGUUAAUGAAAAUUACGUUACCAAGAAUGAAGGACAAUCAAUAAAGGUUUAUGUUACCAAAACAAAAAAGUCUUACCAGGAUGUUCUACAAAGACUUUGACUGCAGAAAUUCCCACGAACUAACCGCAGAUCAUUAAAUAAUAAUUCCCUGAAAAAUUAUAAUCCACAGACCAUUUUAUGUGUGCAGUUCUUCAAAGUCUUACUAGGAAGUUCACUAUAUGUGUGCAUGAAGUGCAGUACAUGCUCAAAAUGAAGCAAAAAAAAUAUGUGUGCAUGAAGUGCAGUACAUGCUCAAAAUGAAGCAAAAAAAAGCACUUUCGCGUAGUGCACAAAAGCAGAAUUAGUUCACCUGAUGUAGUCCUUAUCUGUAAGCCAUGCAGUCUGCAGCGUUGGCAUAACCAGUCACAACUUUAGCACAAAGAAACAUGCACGCAGUGAAAAAUGUGUACACCUGAAGCACAUGACCAUGACGAAUGCAGUGCAUAGAGGCAACAAAGCAGUGCACACCCCUACCAAUGCAGUGCACAAAAAUGUAGCGCAAAACAUGUGUAGUACAGAAUGCGUGCACAUGCAGUCCAGAACACUGAUCAAUGCAGUGCACGGAUGAUUUGCUAAGCAGUGCACACCCCUACAUUGAAAAAAGUACUUAAGAUAGAAAAUACAAAGGAAAAAAAUUGACCACCACAGGUGCAUCCGGCCCCAGCCAGUUUCGUAGUAGGUCUGCGCCCACCGUAGGCGAGCCGUUCUGAUCCACAAUGCAUGGGGCCGGGCGCACAUGGGCCCACAGGUCAGAGAGCAUAGAGCAUCGAGCGCCGGGUAUAAGCGCCCAAAUAAAUAACCAGCGGAGUUCAACACGGCCGCCUCGCCAGCGCUUAUAAACAGGUCGGGCGCGCCUUCCGCGGGCGAGGUGGGACUAAACAUUAGGCCGCACACAACGCACCGGGAACCAGCCGUGCUCAUAGGCCGACUUGGGCCCAAUGCGUCUUCACUCCACGAACACAGGUCCAACAAGGCCCACUAAGAAAAAACAAUAACUUCAAAAAAAUGGGCCCCCCAACCCCCCCUACCCCUCCCGUACAGGGACUGCAGUAAGUACAGGUAAAAAAAUCGAUGGAGUACGCAGCACUAGAAAGAUGCAGUGCAUUUAGCUACACGAAGCAGUACGGUUUAGCAAAUCCAGUUCCGGAUUACCUACAUGAAUAAUACACGGUAUAGAACACAGCGAAAAACUCAUAAAAUUGCGGAAUACAUUGUACUUUAUUCGGGGGCUCCAGCAAGCACACGCAAAAAAUACUGUCAAGUAAGCACCUGUACACAACAUGCAGUUCUCCGUUGCACACGAUGCAGUGCGGAACUCUAACCAAUGCAGUUUCGUUAUCACGCAGGAUACAUAUAAACGUCACAAAAUGCCCUUCGCACAGAAAGUGGUGGUUAAAAAAAAUCUACUAAUCAAAAAUAAAUAAAUAAAACACCACGUUCGCAUACAACCACCCAAUCGGAGCGGUUCCAUCGCCACAACCCCACGAUCACAGACGCAACACCAACCCACGAUCUGCACAAACCGCAUCGUCAGCGAGAUCGUGCAGUUCAUCCGAUGCGGCCAUCCCACCCCGCGCCCUCCCCUUAAAUUCAGACCCUUGCCAUAGGCCUUCUCAUCCACAACAACACAAGUAUCCAUUGCGCUGCCACCAAAUCGCUCCAUCACAUCAUCUCCAUGCAAAACACCAAGCCCCUACUACCGGCCACGGCGUUCGCCGACGAGUACAAGGAUGAGGAGGCACACGGCAACACCAAGUUGCACGUCAUCCACACCAAUGACAAGAAGUAGGUGGCGAUCACCCUCGCGCAGUACGAGGGCCACCUCAGCCACCAGCGCCACAAGAUCGUCGGCAUUGAUCUCGAGUACAACAACGAGCCUGAAGCGACGUAGAAACCCGCCUUCUGCGAACUCUCCAUCGGCAAGAAACACCCAGUGCUGCUCUUCCAACUGAGCGCCGCUGAAAGGUGCACCGUCUUCGACAACUUCCUCGCCGACCCCAGGUACACCUUUGCAGGCUUCUCCAUCGACAGCGACAAAAAAGGCUAGAGCGCAUCAAUCUGGAGGUCGCCAACUACGUCGACAUCCAGAAGGAGUGGAGGGCGCCCGAGGCAACCAAGGAGUUGGACUCUCCUUGGAGACGUCUCCGGCAUGCUCAUCGACGACUACUACAACAACAUGAAGAAGAAGAUCACCGACGACGAGCACAAGCGCUGGGCCACCCUGCCUCUGUCCAUGAGGCACAUCGAGUACGCGGCAAAGGACGCCUACGCAGCGUACGAGAUAUGGAACCACAUCACCCUCACCCAGGACGGGCUUCGCCGUGCAAAGCUGGAGAAGGAGGAGCCCCCCAAGAAGCGCGCCAGGAGCAGCUGGGGAUGGGGAGACGCUGACUGCUGAAGAAGAAGAUGGUGCCGGCCAAAGAGCAACCAAUGCCAGCGUCGUUUUAGAAUUAUCAUCAAAUUUGCUUUAUGUUGUUUGCUUAUGUAUCGUUAGGUUGCUUGUGAUCAUUUGCUUUUGCUGAACUUAGUUUGCUUGCCAUGCAGAAUCGCUUGUAAUGAUGUGAACUUUGAUUAUGUUAAAUUGCUUUCUGUUGAAAUUAGUUUGCUCAUGGUGAACUUGUCGUACAGAAUGCCUGUGAUAAUUUGUUUUCGGUUGUUUGCUUAUGAAUCAUUAGAUUCGAGCAGUGUGCAAAACAAAAAAUAAGAUGCAGUGUGCAAAUAGGACGCAUGCAGUGCAAGUUGUGUACCAAUGGAGUACAUACUCUGUCGAAUUAAGUUUACACAUACGCAACGAAGCAGUGAACACCCCUAAAUUUGAUAAAAAAGAAUACAUAAGAGCAAAAACACAAAAAGAAAAAAAAUGCGACCUGUAUAUGUAGUGCGGAAAUAGAUGAACGUGCAAUACACAAACAUAAUCAAUGCAGUGCGGGUUAUGUUUACUAAGCAGUGCACCCCCCUACAUUGGAAAAAAGAUUACAUAAGAGCAAAAACAUGAAAACAAAAAAUGAGAACUGUACAUGUACUACGGAAUGCGUGCGCAUGCAGUACAGAACUCUGAUCAGUGCAGUGCACAGAUGGUUUACAAAGCAGUGCACGCCCCUACAUUGAAAAAAAUGUAGUGCGGAAAUAUAUGAACGUGCAGUACAGGAACAUAAUCAAUGCAGUACAGGUAUGUUUACUAAGAAGUGCACUCCCCUACAUUGAAAAAAAGAUUACGUAAGAGCAAAAAUAUGAAAACAAAAAAUGAGACCUGAACAUGUAGUACGAAAUGCGUGCACAUGCAGUACAGAACCCUGAUCAAUGCAGUGCAAGAGUAGUUUGAUAACCAGUGCACGCCCCUACGUUGAAAAAAAAUACUUAAGAUAGAAAAUACAAAGAAAAAAAUUGACCACCACAUGUGCAUCCGGCCCCAGCCAGUCUCGUAGUAGGUCUCCGCCCACCGUAGGCGAGCCGUUCUGAGCCACAAUGCAUGGGGCCGGGCGCAAAUUGGCCAACAGGUCAGAGAGCAUAGAGCAUCUAGCGCCGUGUAUAAGCGCUCAAAUAAGUAACCAGAGGAGUUCGAUACGGCUGCCUUGCCAGCGCUUAUAAACAGGUCGGGCACGCCUUCCGCGGGCGAGGUGGGACUAAACAUUAGGCUGCACACAACGCACCGGGAACCAGCCGUGCUCACAGGCCGACUUGGGCCCAAAUGCGUCUUUACUCCGCGAACACAGCCCAACAAGGCCCACUAAGAAAAAACAAUAACUUCAAAAAAUAAAACAUCAAAGAAAAAUUAGAAAACAUUUUUUAAAUGAAUAACAACAACAAAAGAAAAAUGUGCGUGGGCACUGCUAGAAACUACAGUUCGUUAUUAAUAAAUAAAACGCAGAAAGCCCGAAGUAAAAGUUCAAAUGCAGUCCGCGACGCCAAACAAUACAGUUCUCCACGUGGAAGCACGAAGUAUUUUUUUUUUCUGAAAUGCAGUUCUCCUUCUACUGCAUUGCAGUCUUGCUAAAAUGAAGAAUGUAGUCCUGUUAGUUAAGCAAAGCAGUCCGCUAUAAAAUAAAGAACUGCAUGAAAGAACUCCAUCAAGAAACUAAAUGUGCGUACAUCUGUAUCAAUCCUAAUCCGAUAUAAUUUAGUGCACGAAGAAUAAAUUUCACUUCCAUGCAGUACACUACGUGGACGUAUGCAGUUAUGUUCUGAUAUAAAAGAAGUGCACUUAAUAGGAAAAUUCACCGAAAAUACAAUCAUCACAUUUUCUGACAGUUGCGUGCAUACCUGAACAAGUCAUGAAAAAAGAGGACACGACGUUCCGGAUUUCCAACGCACUAACAGAGCCUCCUGAUAGCAGAACCUCUCUGUAGUUGCCACGUAACUACAAACAGAGCCCCACCAUGCUACCACCACGCUCACCUCUCCCACGUCCUGUCAAGGAGAGCACAGGAGAGCAGAGGAGAAAACACAACUGCUUCGUACCCCAAAAAACCCCAUUGCAUCUUCUUCUCCAAACUUCCUUUCACCAACCACUUCUCUCCAGAACAAACACGAGAGCAGAGGAGAGUCAUGGCGGAUGCACCUCUUUACAAGCAGUGCCGCAGGUACACUAGGGAGCUCCACGACGUCGACCUCCACGGCAACCACAAGCUCCACGUCGUUUGCACAAGCAAGGGUGAAGACGUGGACAAGAUGCUAUCCACGCUCAGGAGGAAGCUCGGCGGAAUGCCCGUCAAACUAGUCGGCAUUGAUGUCGAGUACACGCACUACGUGAAGCCACAGCGGGCAGCAGUGCUCCAGCUAUGCGUAGAAAAAGAAUGCCUUGUCUACCACAUCUCUGCAGCUAAAGACAGGUCAGAAUAUAACUAUCAAUCUGUACUAUUGAUUGUCAAUAUUGAUUUUUUCCUCGCUGCAAUCGCCACUAUUUAAACUUUGGUUUUCAUUUUUGAAAAGCAUGGCAUAUGAAUUCAUUGACAGUUUUCAUCUGGCUCCAUGUAUGUCACUCAUGUGCUCGAUUCUUGAAUUAUAUGAUCUAGCAAUACAUGCAGUUUUAUUUUGUUUUACCAAAUACAAACUAUUUGACUGAACAAUAGAAAACUGCAACAUUACUAUACAAAACAUGUAUGAAAUUCAGUUCAAGAAUACAAUCAUGCACAAAACAUGCAUUGUUUAUGCAAUAUAUUAUCAGAUUUACUAGUUAUGAUGAACAAAUUAUUAGCAACUACUCAAUGUAACAGAUUCAGAUAUUCAUAUUGUAGUUCAGUUUCGGACGAAACAAAAAACAUUGGUACUCCUAAGAAAAUAAACUAUAUUCACUCUAUACAAACAUCUUGCAGGCCAAUGGAACUAGACAAAGUCCUGAUGAAUGGUGAGUACACCUUCGUCAGAUUCACCAUUGAAGGAGACAAAAGCAGCUGAAGCUAUCUGGUUUGGAGAUCAACUCCGACAACUACAUUGAUAGUCAGGUGGAAUGGAGAGACCCAUACAAUAAAAAGAAGUUUGACUCUUUGGCUGAUGUUGCCGGCAGGAUGAUAGACAUUCACUACAAUGACAUGAACAAAAAAAUUAACCGCAAGGAGGACCAUACUCUGUGGGGAUUCUGCCCACUGCCAGAAAAGCUUAUCAAGUAUGCAGCAAUAGAUGCAUUCGCAACAUAUGAGUCAUGGAGAAUCAUCUAGGAUGUCAUCAUGGGACUGGACAGGGCAAAAAGGGACAAAGAAGCAAAGCAGAAGAAGAACAAGGCUGUAAUCCAAUAAAGCAACUAUAAAUAAUUCAGGGUUAUGUUUUAGUUUCACUUUACUUUAGUCGUUGUGUUGUUCUUUGUUUCAUGUAUGCAAGCUUUUGGUUAUGUCCAUUGCUUCAUAUCGAACAUUUCUUUUGUAAAAACAAUGUCGUUUUAGAAUUAUCAUUAAAUUUUAUUUCUGUUGUUUGCUUAUGUGUCACAGUUUGCUUCUCAUCAAUUGCUUUCGCUGAAAUUAGUUUGUGUUAGAACAAGUAUCCAGAAAACUUUGAAAAAAUUAAUGUGUGAUACCAAAACGUGAAUACAGUUCACAUAAGAAAAAUAACGCAGUUCACAGAGUGUAUACAUGAAGUGCAGUACAUGCACAAAUGCAGAACAAAGGGGCUGCAGCAACUUUCAUUCAGUGCAGUACUCAACGUUGGUGCAAGCAGUAGAAAUGACAUCAUUUGUACUACCACAAAAUAUAUAUACUCCAAAAAAAAAUGCUUCAGAUAAGGAAAAAAUUGAACACCCAGCUACAAUAAGGCCCCAGCCAGUCCUGUAAUAGGUCUCUAAAAAAUGCGUGCAGUUCUCCAAAGUCUUACAAGGAAGUUCACUAUAUGUGCGCAUGAAGUGCGGUACAUGCUCAAAAUGAACCACAAGAGAAGCACUUUCGUGAAGUGCACAACACAGAAUUAGUUCACCUAAUGCAGUACUUAAAUGUAAGUCAUGCACUCCGCAGCGUUGGCAUAACCAGUCACAACUUUGGCACAAAGAAGGAUGCACGCAGUCCAAAAUGUGUACACGUGCAGCACAGGACUAUGACGAAUGCAGUGCAUAUAGAAGCAACAAAGCAGUGCACACCAGUACACUAGAAAAAUGAUACGUAAGAGGGAAAAAAAUAAAGAAAUAUGCUACCCAUGCAGUGCACAAAAAUGUAGCGCAAACAUGUGUAGUACGCAACCCCAGAGCCACACCCCUAAGAUAGACAGGGAGGCGACGGGGUGUGACGGACUCGCCUGCCCAUGCGGCGCCGCGGCACGCCGCGUCGCCGCCUACUCUGGCUCGUUCCAAGCUCAGUCUCGCAGGGGGGAGGGGGGUCACGAGCCCCCUCCCACCCCCCUGCUCGGCCUCGCGCUAACGCACGCAGUGCGCUUGGUUGACAGGCGGAGUGCGGACAUUCUGUUUUUCCAACAAUAGGACGCACGCAACCCCAGAGCCACACCCCUAAGAUAGACAGGGAGGCGACGAGGAGCGACGGACUCGCCUGCGCAUGCGGCGCCGCGGCACGCCGCGUCGUCGCCUGCUUCAGCUUGUUCCAGGCUCGGCCUCGCAUGGGGGUGGGGAGGGGGGUCACGACCCCCCCUCCCACCCCCCUACUCGACCUCGCGCUAACGCACGCAGUGCGCUUGGUUGAUAGGCGCAGUGCGGAGAUUCUGUUUUUCCAACANNNNNNNNNNNNNNNNNNNNNNNNNNNNNNNNNNNNNNNNNNNNNNNNNNNNNNNNNNNNNNNNNNNNNNNNNNNNNNNNNNNNNNNNNNNNNNNNNNNNNNNNNNNNNNNNNNNNNNNNNNNNNNNNNNNNNNNNNNNNNNNNNNNNNNNNNNNNNNNNNNNNNNNNNNNNNNNNNNNNNNNNNNNNNNNNNNNNNNNNNNNNNNNNNNNNNNNNNNNNNNNNNNNNNNNNNNNNNNNNNNNNNNNNNNNNNNNNNNNNNNNNNNNNNNNNNNNNNNNNNNNNNNNNNNNNNNNNNNNNNNNNNNNNNNNNNNNNNNNNNNNNNNNNNNNNNNNNNNNNNNNNNNNNNNNNNNNNNNNNNNNNNNNNNNNNNNNNNNNNNNNNNNNNNNNNNNNNNNNNNNNNNNNNNNNNNNNNNNNNNNNNNNNNNNNNNNNNNNNNNNNNNNNNNNNNNNNNNNNNNNNNNNNNNNNNNNNNNNNNNNNNNNNNNNNNNNNNNNNNNNNNNNNNNNNNNNNNNNNNNNNNNNNNNNNNNNNNNNNNNNNNNNNNNNNNNNNNNNNNNNNNNNNNNNNNNNNNNNNNNNNNNNNNNNNNNNNNNNNNNNNNNNNNNNNNNNNNNNNNNNNNNNNNNNNNNNNNNNNNNNNNNNNNNNNNNNNNNNNNNNNNNNNNNNNNNNNNNNNNNNNNNNNNNNNNNNNNNNNNNNNNNNNNNNNNNNNNNNNNNNNNNNNNNNNNNNNNNNNNNNNNNNNNNNNNNNNNNNNNNNNNNNNNNNNNNNNNNNNNNNNNNNNNNNNNNNNNNNNNNNNNNNNNNNNNNNNNNNNNNNNNNNNNNNNNNNNNNNNNNNNNNNNNNNNNNNNNNNNNNNNNNNNNNNNNNNNNNNNNNNNNNNNNNNNNNNNNNNNNNNNNNNNNNNNNNNNNNNNNNNNNNNNNNNNNNNNNNNNNNNNNNNNNNNNNNNNNNNNNNNNNNNNNNNNNNNNNNNNNNNNNNNNNNNNNNNNNNNNNNNNNNNNNNNNNNNNNNNNNNNNNNNNNNNNNNNNNNNNNNNNNNNNNNNNNNNNNNNNNNNNNNNNNNNNNNNNNNNNNNNNNNNNNNNNNNNNNNNNNNNNNNNNNNNNNNNNNNNNNNNNNNNNNNNNNNNNNNNNNNNNNNNNNNNNNNNNNNNNNNNNNNNNNNNNNNNNNNNNNNNNNNNNNNNNNNNNNNNNNNNNNNNNNNNNNNNNNNNNNNNNNNNNNNNNNNNNNGCCUCGCGCUAACGCACGCAGUGCGCUUGGUUGUCAGGCGCAGUGCGGACAUUCUGUUUUUCCAACAAUAGGACGCACGCAACCCCAGAGCCACACCCAUAAGAUAGACAUGGAGGCGACGGGGUGUGACGGACUCGCCUGCGCAUGCGGCGCCGCGGCAGGCCACAUCGCCGCCUGCUUCGGCUCGUUCCAGGCUCGGCCUCGUAGGGGGGGUGGGGAGGGGGGUCACGACCCCAGAUCAUUUUCCCCGUUGUCCGUUUUGCUAUCCGGCGCUCCCAUCUCCUCCGGUGCACCCCUCUUGUUUUCUUUCGUGUGCGGGUGUCAAACGUUCUCGGAAUGGACCGAGGCUUGUCAAGUGGCCUUGGUAUACCACCGGUAGACCACCGGUCAAGUUUCGUUCCAUUUGGAGGUCGUUUGGUACUCCAACGGUUAACCGGGCAUCCGCAAAGUCCAUUUGUGUGUGCAGCAAAACCCCCCUCUCUAACAGUCCCAAAACUCCUCUAAGUCAUCUCCAUGCUCUAGGUCGUUCGAUCACGAUCGUGUGGGCGAAAACCGCACCUCAUUUGGACUCUCCUAACUCCCUCUACCUAUAUAUAUUUGCAUCCCCUCCCGAAAACGUAUGGAGUCCAAACCCCAACCCUCGUCCCUCCGCGCGCCGGACACGUCCGCCCGGCGCCGGACAAAUCGCGCCACCGCCACGUCAGCGUCCGCCGCCGCUCGUACCACGCCGGCCCGCGGAGCCCAGGGAGGGCCCNNNNNNNNNNNNNNNNNNNNNNNNNNNNNNNNNNNNNNNNNNNNNNNNNNNNNNNNNNNNNNNNNNNNNNNNNNNNNNNNNNNNNNNNNNNNNNNNNNNNNNNNNNNNNNNNNNNNNNNNNNNNNNNNNNNNNNNNNNNNNNNNNNNNNNNNNNNNNNNNNNNNNNNNNNNNNNNNNNNNNNNNNNNNNNNNNNNNNNNNNNNNNNNNNNNNNNNNNNNNNNNNNNNNNNNNNNNNNNNNNNNNNNNNNNNNNNNNNNNNNNNNNNNNNNNNNNNNNNNNNNNNNNNNNNNNNNNNNNNNNNNNNNNNNNNNNNNNNNNNNNNNNNNNNNNNNNNNNNNNNNNNNNNNNNNNNNNNNNNNNNNNNNNNNNNNNNNNNNNNNNNNNNNNNNNNNNNNNNNNNNNNNNNNNNNNNNNNNNNNNNNNNNNNNNNNNNNNNNNNNNNNNNNNNNNNNNNNNNNNNNNNNNNNNNNNNNCCCGCCGCCGCGCCCUUCUCCUCCUUCCUCUCCUCUCCAUCUUGCCUCUCUCUCUCUCUCUCUGCAGUGCGCCGCGCCCUCCUCCUUCCCCUUCGCCGGCGAGCAACUCCGGCGUCCCCGAGCUCGGGCAGCCACCAGCCCGAUCCGAUCUGAGCAGUUCCAUCGUGCGUUGACUUUCUCCUCGACCCCCGAAAUUUCUGUCUUCAAUAUUUUUCAACAUAUACCCCUGUUCAUCAUUGCAUAACUCUCUGCACAUAACUUCGUUUCGCGCGUGUGAUAUAUCGAAUUGUUCGUCUCGUUAUGAUCUACGUUUUGUUCAAUUGCACCAUGUUCAUUAGAGGUCAUCUUGAUGCCCAAAUCUCUGUUGCAAGAGGGCUAGUUGCUGUUGUCUGCUGGUUCUUAUCAGAACUUGGAGAUUUGUUAUUUUCGUAUCAUUUAAUCUGUGCAUCUUAUGGGCAUGAGCUCUACAUAUGGUUUGUUGUAUGCCAUGCCAUCUUUCCAAGGGUGUUUGCCAUGUAUUUUUGUGAUCUCUGUGGUGACUAGCACAAGCAUGCAAACUAGGCCCCGUAAUGUUUCUGAUUUCAGGGACUUGGUAAAUUCUCUAAAGUCCUUGUCUGCUGUUAUUUUGUUCCCAUGUAAACUUGAUGCUACAGAGAGAUCCAUGCAUAUUUUGGAGAUGUUCAAUAAGGAUGUUUUGUAGAUAUUGUUGUAAUUGAUCCAUUCCUGCCCUUGUUUGCAAUUAUGGAGUGCCAUAGCAUGACUCAAUAUUGCUCUACUUUUGCUAUAAAAUAUUUCUGGCAGAUUGUUUACGUGUUAUUCAAUUUUGCCAAGCUUGUUGUAGUUGAUCCAUACAUGCUAUGCUUUUGUUCUUGCCAUGGAUAGCUUCAUAAACUUGCCAUCUUGCUGUAGGUAUGCUUGUUUUGUCAUGCAUUGCUUUGUGGUGAGUGCAUCAAGCUCACCAAGAUGCCUUCAUAUUAUUGUUUCUACCAUGCUCUGUUUUCUGCCAAGUCUGAAACCUGAUAGCGAAACUUGCUAUGUUUACAUGCUUGCAAUCAUACUUUCUUGUCCUUUUUGGCUUACGGUCAGUAAGGGACUUUUGUCUUAUGCAUUUAGUAGAACACUGCCACGCCUUGUUUUGCUAUUUUAACUUUCUGUAGCAUAUUGAUUUUGUGCUCUGAACAUUGCUACCUGAUGCUGUUUAGGCAUGUCCAGUAAUUUCACCAAGUCUGUGAACCUGUUAUCUUUUGCACUUUUGUCAUGCUUGUUUGAGCUUGAUAUUUUGUGAUCUAGCUGUAGCUCAGUGUUCAUCUUUUGUCAAGCAUCUCCUGUAGAUUACUGCCAUAUGCUUUGUUGCUAUGUUGGAGUCCUGUAGAAUUGUUGCUUGUUGCAUUUUAGGUGCUAUCAUGCUGUUAAUUGCAGAUUCGUGUCAUUCUUGUUUUGCUUGCCAUUUGCAAACCGUGCAUCCGUUUCCGGUGAUCUUUAUAUCGAUUUCGACCGAAAUCAUCUCAUCUUUCCAGUGGAAUGCUUGGUUUGCCAAGCUACUGCCUUGUUCAUCAUUUUCCUCCCGGAGCACGCAUAUGCAUCGCAUAUCAUACAUGUUUUGCAUCAUGUUGCUUGUGCAUUUCUCGUGGUUGAUUGUGGUUCCGUUGCUUGUGUUCUUGUCUUGGGUAGAGCCGGGAGACGAGUUCGUGAACGAGGAACCUGUUGAGUACGCUUACGAGGAUCAAGCUUUCGACAACUCUGAGAACCUUGCAGGCAAGAUGACCACCCCUCGAAAUCACUUCUAUCUUUGCUUUGCUAGUUGUUCGUUCUAUUGCCAUGCUGCGCUACCUACCACUUGCUAUAUCAUGCCUCCCAUAUUGCCAUGUAAGCCUCUAACCAUCCUUUCCUAGCAAACCAUUGUUUGGCUAAGUUACCGCUUUUGCUCAGCCCCUCUUAUAGCGUUGCUAGUUGCAGGUGAAGUUGAAGUUUGUUCCAUGUUGGAACAUGGAUAUGUUGGGAUAUCACAAUAUCUCUUAUUAUAUUAAUGCAUCUAUAUAUUUGGUUAAGGGUGGAAGGCUCGGCCUUAUGCCUGGUGUUUUGUUCCACUCUUGCCGCCCUAGUUUCUGUCAUACCGGUAUUAUGUUCCUUGAGUUUGCGUUCCUUACGCGGUCGGGUGAUUUAUGGGACCCCCUUGAUAGUUUCCUUGAAUAAAACUCCUCCAGCAAGGCCCAACCUUGGUUUUCCCCCCGGGUUUUCGCGAGCCCGAGGGUCAUCUUUAUUUAAACCCCCGGGCCAGUGUUCCUCUGAGUGCUGGUCCAAACUAAAGCCACUUGCAGCGCCACCUUGGGGAAACUCGAGGAUUGGUUUUAGCUGUACGUAGUGUUCAUCCGAUGUGCCCUGAGAACGAGAUAUGUGUAGCUCCUAUCGGGAUUUGUCGGCACAUUCGGGCGGCUUUGCUGGUCUUGUUUUACCAUUGUCGAAAUGUCUUGUAAACCGGGAUUCCGAGACUGAUGGGGUCUUUCCGGGAGAAGGUUUAUCCUUCGUUGACCGUGAGAGCUUAUGAUGGGCUAAGUUGGGACACCCCUGCAGGGUAUUAUCUUUCGAAAGCCGUGCCCGCGGUUAUGAGGCAGAUGGGAAUUUGUUAAUGUCCGGUUGUAGAGAACUUGUCACUUGACCCAAUUUAAAAUACAUCAACUGUGUGUGUAGCCGUGAUGGUCUCUUCUCGGCGGAGUCCGGGAAGUGAACACGGUUUGAGUUAUGUAUGACGUAAGUAGAAGUUCAGGAUCACUUCUUGGUCAUUUCUAGAUGACGACCGUUCCGUUGCUUCUCUUCUCGCUCUCAUUUGCGUAUGUUAGCCACCAUAUAUGCUUAUUGCCACUGCAGCUCCACCUCAUUACACCUUCCUUUCCUAUAAGCUUAAAUAGUCUUGAUCUCGCGGGUGUGAGAUUGCUGAGUCCUCGUGACUCACAGAUUCUACCAAAACAGUUGCAGGUGCCGAUGAUGCCAGUGCAGAUGAUGGGAUCGAUCUCAAGUGGGUGUUCGAUGAGGAACGUGGUCGUUACUAUGUGUCUUUUCCUGAUGAUCAGUAGUGGAGGCCAGUUGGGACGAUCGGGGAUCUUGCAUUUGGGGUUAUCUUAUUUUCAUUCGGAUCUUGACCGUAGUCGGUCUAUGUGUGUAUUUUGGAUGAUGUAUGGAUUAUAUUUAUGUAUUGUCUGAAGUGGCGAUUGUAAGCCAACUCUUUAUCCCAUUCUUGUUCAUUACACAGGAUUGUGUGAAGAUGACCCUUCUUGCGACAAAACCACUAUGUGGUUAUGCCUCUAAGUCGUGCCUCGACACGUGGGAGAUAUAGCCGCAUCGUGGGCGUUACAGACAGGGAGGCGACGGGGUGUGACGGACUCGCCUGCGCAUGCGGCACCACGGCACGCCAUGUCGUCGCCUGCUCCGGCUCGUUCCAGGCUCGGCCUCGCAGGGAGGGUGGGGAGGGGGGUGAUGACCCCCUCGCACGCCCCUGCUCGGCCUCGCGCUAACGCACGCAGUGCGCUUGGUUGACAGGCGCAGUGCGGACAUUCUGUUUUUUCAACAAUAGGACGCACGCAACCCAGAGCCACACCCCUAAGAUAGACAGCGAGGUGACGGGGUGUGACGGACUCUCCUGCACAUGCGGCGCCGCGGCACGCCGCGUCGCCGUGUGCUCCGGCUCGUUCCAGGCUCGGCCUCGUAGGGGGGUGGGGAGUGGGGUCAGGUCAGGACCCCCCUCCCACCCCCCUGCUCGGCCUCGCGCUAACGCACGCAGUGAGCUUGGUUGACAGGCGCAGUGCGGACAUUUUGUUUUUCCAUCAAUAGGACGCACGCAACCCCAGAGCUACACCCCUAAGAUAGACAGGGAGGCGACGGGGUGUGACAGACUCGCCUGCGCAUGCGGCGCCGCGGCACGCCGCGUCGCCGCCUGCUCCGGCUCGUUCCAGGCUCGGCCUCGCAGGGGGGUGGGGAGGGGGGUCACGACCCCCCUCCCACCCCCUUCUCGGCCUCGCGCUAACGCACGCAGUACGGUAAGUAUAGGGAAUACAAAGAGCAAAUACAAAUCUAUAAACAACCAAAAAAAUGCCCCCCCAUACCUUACAAUACAAACAAUAAAAAAAUAACCAAUUGAAAGACGCAUCUUUAGGCAAAAGCAAUGCACUUGGUUAGGCAAAAGCAGUGCACUUGGUUAGGCAAAAGCAGUGCAGUAUCAUAAAGCAACGCAGUUCCAGGAUACACACAUGAAUGCAGGGUCUGCGGCAAAAAAAGUGCAGCAAAAAAACAGGUGCAACACAAACUUGUAGACAAAUGCAGUUCCAGGAUACAUAUAAGCGUGACAAAAUUCGAGUUCACACAAAACGUGUAAGUCAACAAAAAUAAAAAUAUACACAUAUAUAUGAAUUAUUUAUAUAAAAUACACAUACAGAUACAAAUUCAUCCAUAAAACACUGCUACAAAAAAGCAUACAAAAAUCACAACAAACAGAAAAAAGUCUUUUCAUACAUUAUAUACCUUAGACACCACACAGUACACAACAUGAACCCCUAGUUCUUGUCCAUACACAUGGUUUUUACCAAGUAGAUUGUUACUGCGUCUGCGAUUGCAACAGGGAAGUAAGCCCGAGGUCCGCAAUCAGUUCUCGUAGCUCAAGCGGCAUGUCUUCAUAACACAACAUGUUCGAAGAAUUGAACAGCAGCUGGAACAUGUACUCCGCCUUCCAAUCUUCAACAGCAGGCUGAAAAAAAGAAAAAUUAAAAAAAUGCAGACAAUGAUUAAAUAAAAGGUUAUCAUAAAGAACAAAAAGUGAAAAGGUAAAAAUAAUAACAAAAAGUAACAAGAAAAAGAAGAAAACAGAGAAGGUGUUACGUCGGUUUUGAUAAUUUUCUCAACUAGACGUUGGUCGUCAUACAACUGCGUCACCCUCAGAACGUAGAUUCCGCACUCGUUUGCUCCCUGCGCUGGCACGACCGGGUAAGAGGGCUUCUCUGCCAAUUUAACCCAGUCAGGGUGGUUCUUAGAUUUAUACACUUUUUCACCAUAAAUCGCCUUCAGCAACUGAGUCAUCCUCCUCAUCUGCCAAAAAAAGGGAAGCACAAUGUAAAAAUAACACACACAGAUCAAAUUACUAUUCAGACAAACCAAAAAAUACAAAAAAUGUUCUCAACGUCUAGACAGUCCCUCUUUUAAAUGCACGUGAGGUCAUUUCCUUUUAUCUCCUUUUUUACAAGGAUUAUGGGGGGGCCUGAGAAAAAUGCAGUUCUGUCACGCACAUGUUGAAGUGCACUAUAUAAACAAGUGUGGUUCUAUGUGUGCUAACAUAGCAUGUGCAGUUUAUAAAAAAAUGCAGUAGGAGAAACACAAAAAAGCAAUGCACUUGGCAAGAAAAAAUGACAUACCACUUCAGUGCAAUCUGAGUGGUAAUCAGUCCUGCGCCACUUUGUCGUGACAUCAGGAUGACCAGUGUACUUCCUAGUGUCAUGGAUAUCAAACGUCUGGCGAUGCUGGUUCAUCGUGUAUAAGGAAUAAUGACCAUCCUUGGAGCGCGGCAUCAUAAUCUGUUCACAUAAAAAAACAAAAAAUGAAAUGAAAAGUUAUUUCGAGACGUAGCACUAGGACCACUGUUCCAAAAAAUAACUAUAAAAAGAAAUGCAACAAACUAGAAAAAAAAUUACAGGAAAUAAUGAACUUACCAGUUUUGCAUCCAACAGGUUUACGUCGUCACUCACAAAAACCUUGAACUAGUUAACUGCAUCUUGUAAAACAAACGUGCUAUGCACAACAGGCAACACAGGGUUUCCUUCAUCAUCUUUCGUCACAAAGGUUUCCAUCUGAAGAACAUACUGCAAAGAAAAAAGAACAAAAAAAGAAAAUGAAAAAAGGAAUAAACAAUGCAUUCAGGCAUGGACGUAAAAAACCAGUACAAUAGAAAAAAAUGACAGCACACGUUUACCGUGAUAAUAAGGGUGAAAGUAGCACACGUUCACCAGAAUGAUAAACUAAACCCAUUUCAGGGUCUUGCUUCCAGUACUUGAUGACAAAAUCCAUGAGAUACGAAUCCAUUAAAGCUCCUUUGCCAAAUGUAUUAUAUAUAUAGUCAACAUUGUAAGUAUCAAGAUCACCAAAAGGACUAUGCACCAUAAAGAACGCAUUCCUGCAGUAAACAUACAGAUAUGGGAUCAAUAAAAAUAAAAUUAAAAACAAAACACACAAAAAGGAUUAAGCGCACACACAUAAAACUUACUCGUGGUAUUUGGUUACAAAAUCUUUGCUCAGAACAAGAUCCUUUAUUUUCCUCGCCUCAUCAAUAUAUUUGAACCUCGGAGGCUUCAAUUUCACUAUAGAGCAUCUCAACUUAAAAGCCCUCUCACCUGCCCUCUUGUUCAAAAAUAUUUCAACGUCAUCCUUAGGAGGGCGAUUAAUUGCUGCACUCGUAGCACUAGUGGCGCGAGGACACGUCGUAACAAAAUCAUUAUCAUCAACAUCAAAUACAUCGCGUGGAGAGCUAGGUCGAGAAACACUUCCACCAUUAGGUCCAGACGCCACAACUGUGUUCAAACCAUCUCCAGCCAAAGAACCAGAAUUAUCUGGAGAGAUUUCAAUGACACAAUCCUGCAUAACCACCUCAGAACCUUGGGACUCGAACAGUGACAUACAGCCUUCAUGAAGCCCCCCAUCAAAACCUAAAACCGUGUAGAAAAAACAUGGAAACACUCAGCACAAAAUACAAAACCUAAAAACAUGUAAUACACCUCAUUAAAAUAAAAAAUGCAGUUCACUAAAGAAUAGAAUGCAGCACAAUUGUCUACAACAAUGCAGCCCACUUGUCUACAGCAAUGCAGAACAAAAAAUGUAUACAACAAUGCAGCCUGCUUGUAUACAACAAUGCAGCCUGCUUGUAUACAACAAUGCAGCCCACUUAUGAAGAACAAUGUAGCUCACUUGCCCAAAAAAUAAAAUGCAUCUCACUAACACAACAAAAAAUAUAUACACAUCAAUUCUAAAUCACGAACUUAACUAAACAAACUAGUAAAAAAAGCCCGUAAGCAAGCAGUACACAAAAAAAAUAAAGUAUGGAUAAAUAAGUUCACUAAAACAACCUUUAUCUACAAAAAUUAAAAGUGAUGUUAAAUCAAGGGAACACUUUCUCGAUGUGAGCCAACUAUAGAGCAUGGCCUUUCUGAUGUAGCCAAUGUGCUCCACCCCAAACUGAGCAACUCGAACACCAUCCCAAGUCUGCAAGAAUUGAAACAUAUAGAAUCCACAAUCAUGCCUGCAAUAAAAAGAAUAAAAAACAUCAGUUUCACAAAUAUGAAAUAAAAAAACUUGAGCAGUAUGGAUAAGAGGGGCUGUACGGAACACACCCAUUUGGCUGCAUUGGGAUAAUGACAUGCUUCAACACAAAUCCAUCAAGUGUAGGAGGAUUUAGCGGCUCAUCAGAACUUGAGCUUCCUUCUUUCCAUGCACGCUUGAUAUUUUUAACCAUCCUCCUAAAAACCCUGAUCGCAUCAGCGCUGCCAGGUUUAUUGAGCGAGUCAAGAAAUUGAAACCGCCUUUCUUUCACAUUUAACGCAACUACACAAUAAUGACCAACGCCAUCCCUCAGAUCUGGUGGAUCAAAAGUUGCAAAAAGGACCUGUUCAAAGGAUGAAAUAAUAAAUAAAAGUAUUAUAAGAAGAAGAAACAGAACACCAUAAAAACAAACACGCAAAAUAUAGUAUUCGACACAUAAAAACGUUACUCACCAUAUCCUUUUUAUCAACACGCUCCUCGGCUUUUGAAGAGAACGUCAUUUUAACAGUCCUGCCUACAGUACCACCAUUCCAAAUAUUUGUCUGCCAAUACAAAACCAAAAAUCAAAUAGUGCUCAAGAAAACAUGUCGUCGCACGAAAUCAGAAAAGAAAAUCAAAAAAAUAAAACAAAAAUUUCUAUAUUCUUACACAAAUAUGGUACGGGACAACCAUUGUCGGAGAUCCCUUAAAGUUAUCUACCAGCAAAGAAACCCCAAGAUCUACAAGUCUUGUAGUGAGCAUCCCUUUAUCCCAAAAGGAUUGACCAACUUCGCCAAUGGUAAUAUCACCCAACUCAGUCUUAAAAGCAAUCAUGUCCCUGAAUUUUUCAUGAAAAACUGAAACAUAAGAUACUAAAAAAAUAACAACAAAGAAAAAGGGCUAAAAAACAAAAUUAGAAAAUACAUAUGAACAAAACAAUUUGUAAAAAAACCAUACUUCUUCUUCUUGUCCUUCCGAACCCUCGUAACUGAAGCGUACAACUCAUUGUAUCUUUUCAAGAGAGCUGGAUCAAUGCUCGACGGUGUCACAACAGGAAGUUCGUCAUCUGUAAUAAAAAAGACAAAGUUCACUUAUCCAAAUAAUGAAGUUCAAAUAUUAAGCCAAGGAAAUUCUGCUAGCUAUUUUGAAAAUCAUAAACAAAAGAUCAAGUUUCACUUAUCAUUAAACAUCUAAUACAGAUACCAUAGUAAUUAAACAAAAAUGAAAUGAGAAAAAACUUCAACUGUACUGUUCAAAAGAAAACUCUUGCCUUCAGUGUCAGAGUCUUCAUGCUGUUGUUCUUCAGAGCCGACCAAUACAUUUUUCCUAGAUAGGUUGUGACGAAUCCAACACAACAUCACUGGACUGCCCUUCUGCAGCAACAUCAGCAUUAUCUGGAUUUACAACAGUCUGGUCAACCGCAACGUCCUUAGAUACUUCAGCUACAUGAGGCUCCACUCUCGAUACUUUAGGAACAUCGUUGGUCGCCAGACAAACACGGGAAGCAACAACACUAACAGUAGGGACGACAUUCUCCAGCGGCUUUUCAAUGCCAAAAUUAGAAUCUUCAUGCCGGCUGGGGGAAACAGCAUCAUGGGAUUGUUGAGCUACAGAAGGGUCUGCACAGUCGACAGCAACCGAUGCAGAAGCACCAACACUGCCACCACCAUCAACAGCAUAACCGCCCUGAUUCAGAUCAACGUGAACUUCCACGUUUUCUUCUCCAGGCUGUGGAAAGAUUAAAAACACACAAUAACACAAAAAUGAGCGUGGGGAUAAUUAACACAACAAAAGACUGCAACCCACAUGUAUCAAAACAACUACAACUUCAACACACAUAUACGUAAAAAAAGAACUGCAGUUCACUUUGUCAAACGCUGCUCUUCAGUUAUGUUAAAUACUGAAGCUCACUUAUGUAAAACAUUAUGGACCACGCAUGCGAAAUUGAAUGCAGUUCACUUCUGUCAAAGACUGAAGCUCACUCAUGUAAAACUAUUGCAGCUAACAUAUGUAAAUGAAAAUGCAUAUGACUGAGCAUAACACCGCACAUCAAGUUUAUAACAAAAAAAAAUUAGAUUACAACACACUAACAGAACAAGUAAUACAACUAUACCUUAUCAGCUACAACAUCCGGAGGGGACGAUGCAUCACCCAAGACCUCAUCCUUCCCAGAGCCAUCGUAGGACUCUUUGUGCACAUCACAAGCAGCAACACCAGUCUACGGGCAUAGAACAAACCAAAAACGAGAAUAAGAUGGUUAUGACAAAAAAAGAAAAAAUUUCAACUAUGCACAAGCAGUACACACUUUACAACCGUGAAGUACACAAAAAAUACAAUAAAAAUGGAAAGCAAGAAAUACAAGUUUAAGAAGAGGGACACGUGGCAGAACAGACAUGGCAGAAGUACUUGUACUUGACCAAUUCCAUCGUCCCUAGUUCCAUGGACACCAGAAGAUUCCACUCCAGCCCAUCACAAAAAACAAAAAAAGUGAGGAGCAGUCCACAUAAUACACAAAAGAGGUUCAAAGCAACAAAAAACCUCGAACAUACAUUAUCCGCGCCAACCCCAGCGUCCUGACGGUUCAUUUCAUCCAAAAUAUGCCCAGCAUCCUUCUCAUACCGACCGCAUUUUUCCUCCUGUGUAUGUCUCAAUUGAGCAUAGGAAGACCGAACAUUCGUCACUGCAAUCUUCAGGCUUUCAAUCAUGCCACAAUCAAAAUUUUGAGUAGCAACAAUAUCUUCCUCUUGUGGGCCAUGGCCAACAGGGAAAAAACCAGCAACUGUCCUCAACCUGUCACCAGAGGUUGGCAAAUCUUCAUUCAACUUCAAAACCUUCACAAGAAGCUCAUCAAUCUCCUCAUGUUUUUUGCCGCCAACAAAUGUCUGUUUAGAAGAGCUUCUAUUAUCAAACAUCUGUCGAGCCAUGAAACCACGAGUACGCGGCACCUCAUCAUCACAGGCAGGAAGCUGGCUACAUAUAGGCUCAUAAAACCUAGCAUGAGUGCUAGGUCCCGCAUCAGAGCUGCCGCAUACAACUGCAACAGGACGGUUGUACACAAUAUCACCUGACACCUUCCACUGCAAAAAAAAGACAAGAGGCAAAGUCAAGUACACAUGUGAGUACUAGAAAAGUUCAGAUUUAUAAUUGCUGCACCUUUUAAAAAAAACUGAUAUUAAAAACUCAGAUGCACUAACCGGCAGCUUCCCAAAUUUGUAAGUUUCCAAGUAAAUCUUUCCCUUCGCAAGCACAUCCUCAUUGUAUAACUUCAUCAGGUCUUUGGUCGUCAGGUAUGACGCACGUGGCGUCAACGUGUGCAUGACUGAAAAUUUGCGAUGCUUCAAGCAGUCAAGAUACAUAAUCAGGGGGACAAUGGCACAACCCUCUGCACAAUUCUGCUUGCUUCCUUCUGUUUGCCACCUCACCACAGCUACCUGCAACUCAUCAACAAUAAGCUGGCAAAAGUCCAUCUGAGCCAUAACCGCAUAAUCCAUGUUCUCUACCAUAGCAGCAACUCUACCCAAACGAACUGCACGCCCGGGGCACAGCAAAUUCUGGUAGAGUAUCAGGAAGAACACCUUCACAGCAAGGUCAACAAUCACAUGAUCAUCUUCCUCCACCAUCGCCUUCAACUUCUCAAGCAAGUCCUUGACACCUAUACUUUUUGAAUGGUCAAAGACAAGCUCAUCCUUGCGGGCACUCAACGAGUCAUCAUGGCCGCUGGCAGCAGGCAUGGGUGCAGUGUGACGUCCCAUGGGUAAAUCAAAAAUGUGAUGAACUGCAUCACGAUUGAUUCGAAGAACCCUGCCAUUCCCAAAGUCCAUUAUCAUGGUUGCAGGGUCAAUCACUCCCAUCAGAUAGCACAUAAGAAUGCGCGACACAUUUUUCUUUACUGUCAGUUCAAAGACAACACCAAAUCCAGCAUCCCGAACACGACUACAGUGUGCCUCUUUCAAGAAGGCAGCAGCCUUGCAAACAGUGGGAAGCGACAAACGUACGGUCUUGUUAAAUCGAGAAUCGUCUCCCUCGGCAUCAUCUUCAGCUGCAUUGCUCUUACUAGACUUCUUCCUCUGUGUAAAGGGAAAUGCAAUCCUUAUUAGAAGACUAGCCAUAAAAAAGAGACAGAGAAAACACAGAUAGAAUAACAAUGAGAAAACAAAUGCAGUCCACUUCAACAAACCUUUGAAACAACAUCCACCUCCUCGCCAGAUUCACCACAAAAAUCUUCAUUGACAUCAUCACGGGCACGCUUGGGUAGACUCUUAGAUGAACUACAGUCUUUGCGCCUACCACUAUGAACAUCCCUCACAAAAUCAGCAAGCACAAAGUCGUCAUCAUCAGAGUUGGGACCUUCAGUGACAUGUAGUCGCUUGCACUGAGGAUCAUCCUUUCCACCAGCUUCAGCAGUUCUCUUGCCAAGAUUCUUGUUCAUGCCAGCAACACGUGGACUCCGCCGAGGUGUACCACCUUCCUCAACAACUGUACUCAGCUUCUUCUUCUGCAAAGAAGGCUUCUUCACCUUGGCAAAUUUGGCACCCUUGGCACCAUCUGCAGCUCUCCUCUGCUUCUCCUUCUCCGCAAACUCUUUUGAGUCACUUUCAAACCUCAACUUCUUCUUGCUUUGCUUCAACUCAUAUUCACGAAGCUAUUCCGAGACCAUCCAAUCCUGUGUAACUUCCUCUGUACCAUCAAUAGACUGCGACUGUGUCUCAGACAAAACGGGACGUCUCUGGUCAAAGCUCACACCAACAUUACCUUCUGCAAAAUAAUGGUCAAUCAAUUGAGUAACCUCCUCAAACCCAGGCGCCCCAGCAUGGAAAACAGACACUGCGUCAAAAUGAAGUUUGACUAUGGUCAUAAAAAAGUGCACAAAAAGAACAAAUGCAGUACACUUAGACAUAUAAAAUGCAGUGCUCCAACCAUAAGCUAAAAAUAAAAAUUAAUGCAUUGCACAAAAAACUUGAAUAAAACAACAAUGCAGUUCACACAUACAUAUAGUACAGUUCACAUAUAGAAAAUAAAAUACAGUGCUGCAUACACUAACUUCAUGUUUCUUCCCAACAAAAUGCCGGACUAGAUACAGCAAGGCAACACCAAUUGGUACAACAUCAAAGUAACUAGCAUACACAAAAUAAACAAAUCAAUCACAUACUAGAAGGAGGGGCCACACUUAUGGGAGAAGUUUCAAUCGGCGAGUUCAAUUGAUGUCCUCCCUCCACACCAUGGUCCUUACCACCAGGACAACGAGACCCAAUUGGCGUAUCAUUAUGAGAACCACAAUCACCUACUUGAUUCAAAAAGAACCAGAAACAGAAAUUACAAAACAUCACGUGACAAAAUAAUGCAAAUGAACGCUGACAACUAACGGAGCAUAAACCAAUAUGCAGGAUGAUUUAGGAAACUAGAUAAACAUCAAACAAAAUAAACAAAAGCCUAAAAUAAGCACUCCACAUACCCUGAACUCCUCCUCCCACUCUGCUCGGCGAAGACAUGACGUUUGCCUGCAGCACAACGACGAAGUGACAGAUUUAAGCAACAAAAUCGGCGAAAAUCUCACGAAACCCUAGAUCCACCUUGCUACACAAGAGUAUCGACUCCAAAAUCGAGAUAAAAUCGGUUGCCUACGGAAAAAUAACAUAAGCAAAAACAGCAACAACAACUACGAGAAUAACAAAACAAGACGAGCGGGCGAUCAAGACCGAGAACAAGAAAAACGUACCACAAAAAAGGUGCGGCGCAGGCGGCGGCGGCGACGACGGGGAGGAGGGAGGGUGCGGCGACGGCAACGGACAGGAAAGGGCUGCGCGAGCGCAGCGGCAAGGGCUCGCGGAGCGGACGAUGCGGAAUGCAGGAAUAAGAACCUCUUGAGGGCGGCGGUUCCUCGGGCGACGGCGGUUGCUGCGGGUGACGGCGGCUUUGCUCGAGGGAGGAACUGGAAGAGAGGAGAGGUGAUUGUUCUCGGUCUCUCUCCCUGUCAGCGGAGCGGUGGGAUCGCCUGGAACGGACACGUAGGAGGCCCGCGUGUGGCAAAAGGCAACAUAAAAUGGGCCGGCCCAAAAACGGCCCGGCUAAAAUAAGAAAGACCACAUCAAAACGCACAUGAUGCAGUUCUCUAUGAAGAACAAUGAAGUUCCAUCGGUAAAACAUAAAUAAAAUAAACGCAAUUUGUAAAAAAAGUUAAAAUAAAAAAACACGCAUGUUAAGAAAACGCAACCGAAAAGAAAAAGUCUACAUUCGAAUAAGUGCCACACAAAAACAAUGGGGGGCGGGCCAACCCCCCGACCCCUCCCGUACAGGGACUGCAGUAAGUACAUGCAAAAAAAUGAUGCAACACGCAGCACUAGAAAGAUGCAGUGCAUUUAGCUACAUGAAGCAGUACGGUUUAGAAAAUCCAGUUCCGGAUUACCUACAUGAAUAAAUACACAAUAUAGAACACAGCGAAAAACUCAUAAAAUUGCGGAAUACAUUGUACUUUAUUCAGGGGCUCCAGCAAGCACACGCAAAAAAUACUGUGAAGUAAGCACCUGUACACAACAUGCAGUUCUCCGUUGCACACGAUGCAGUGCGGAACUCUAACCAAUGCAGUUUCGUUAUCACGCAGGAUACAUAUAAACGUCACAAAAUGCCCGUUCACACAGAAAGUGGUGGUUAAAAAAAUCUACUGAUCAAAAAUAAUAAUAAAACCAUGUUAAAAAACACCACGUUCGCAUACAACCACCCAAUCGGAGCGGUUCCAUCGCCACAAGCCCACGAUCACAGACGCAACACCAACCCACGAUCUGCACAAACCGCAUCGUCAGCGAGAUCGUGCAGUUCAUCUGAUGCGGCCAUCCCACCCCACACCCUCCCCUUAAAUUCAGACCCCUGCCAUAGGACUUCUCAUCCACAACAACACAAGUAUCCAUUGCGCUGCCACCAAAUCGCUCCAUCACAUCCAUCUCCACGCAAAACACCAAGCACUACUACCGGCCAUGGGGUUCGCCGACGAGUACCAGGGCGUGGAGGCCCACGGCAACACCAAGUUGCACGUCAUCCACCCCAACGACAGCAAGCAAGUGGCGACCACCCUCGCGCAGUACGAGGGCCACCUCAGCCUCCAGCGCCACAAGAUCGUCGGCAUUGAUCUCGAGUACAACAACGAGCCUGAAGCGACGUAGAAACCCGCCCUCUACCAACUCUCCAUCGACAAGAAACACCCGGUGCUGCUUUUCCAACUGAGCGCCGCUGAAAGGUGCACCGUCUUCCACAACUUCCUCGCCGACCCCAGGUACACCUUUGCAGGCUUCUCCAUCGACGGCGACAAAAAAAAGGCUAGAGCGCGUCAAUCUGGAAGUCGCCAACUUCGUGACAUCCAGAAGGAGUGGAGGGUGCCCGAGGCAACCAAGGAGUUGGACUCCCUUGGAGACGUCUCCGGCAUGCUCAUCGACGACUACUACAACAACAUGAAGAAGAAGAUCACCGACGACGAGCACAAGCACUGGGCCACCCUGACUCUGUCCAUGAGGCACAUCGAGUACGCGGCAAACGACGCCUACGCAGCGUACGAGAUAUGGAACCGCAUCACCCUCACCCAGGACGGGCUUCGAUGUGCAAAGCUGGAGAAGGAGGAGCCCCCCAAGAAGCGCGCCAGGAGCAGCUGGGGAUGGGGAGACGCUGACUGGUGAAGAAGAAGAUGGUGCCGACCAAAGAGCAACCAAUGCCAUCGUCGUUUUAGAAUUUUCAUCAAAUUUGCUUUAUGUUGCUUGCUUAUGUAUCGUUAGUUUGCUUGUGAUCAUUUGCUUUUGCUGAACUUAGUUUGCUUGCCAUGCAGAAUCGUUUGUAAUGAUGUGAACUUUGAUUAGAUUGCUUUCUAUUGAAAUUAGUUUGCUCAUGAUGAACUUGUCGUACAAAAUGCCUGUGAUAAUUUGUUUUCUAUUGUUUGCUCAUGUAUCAUUAGAUUCGAGCAGUGUGCAAACAAGACGCAUGCAGUGCAAGUUGUGUACUAAUGUAGUACAGACUCUGUCAAAUGAAGUUUACACAUACCCAACAAAGCAGUGCACAUCCCUAAAUUUGGAAAAACGAAUAGAUAAGAGAAAAAACACAAAAAGAAAAAUGCGAUCUUUAUAUGUAGUGCCGAAAUAUAUUGACGUGCAGUAUAGGAACAUAAUCAAUGCAGUACAAGUAUGUUUACUAAGCAGUGCACUCCCCUACAUUGGAAAAAAGAUUAAAUAAGAGCAAAAACAUGAAAACAAAAAAUGAGAACUGUGCAUGUAGUACGGACUGCGUGCACAUGCAGUACAGAAAACUGAUCAGUGCAGUGCACAGAUGGUUUACAAAGCAGUGCAUGCCCCUACAUUGAAAACAAAAACAAUAGAAAAAAAUUAACCACCCAGGUAUAGCCGGCCCCAGCCAGUCUUGUAGUAGGUCUGCGCCCAUAGCAGGCGAGUCGUUCUGAGCCACAAUGCGUGGGGCCGGGCGCACAUGGGCCCACAGGUCAGAGAGCAUAGAGUAGCGAGCGCCGUGUAUAAGCGCCCAAAUAAGUAACCAGAGGAGUUCGAUACGGUUGCCUCGCCAGCGCUUAUAAACAGGUUGGGUGCGCCUUCCGCGGGCGAGGUAGGACUAAACAUUAGGACGCACACAACGCACCGGGAACCAGCCGUGCUCACAGGCCGACUUGGGCCCAAUGCGUCUUCACUCCCCGAACACAGGCCCAACAAACAAAAAGAGAGGCUACUGAUUUUUUUAAAAUAAUCCCACGUACCAUACACAAACGCAGGCCCAACCACGCGUUCCGCGGUUCGUCUUGAUAUGACAAUGCAGUUCACUAGUUUCAUGUAUGCAGUCCUCUUACUACUCAAAUGCAUUCGCGCACACUGAAUCAGAACCAAUCCGCCACCUAACACCAACCACAAACAUUUAUUACUUCCGUUGGUCAAUUGGUUGCAUAAAAACGUACCCAUUCGUGCUCCAGACUAACACAACGCCUCCCCCGUUCCUCUUUUUCUUCAAAUCGUAGAUCUAGGGUUCAUCCCAUCCCCAGCUCUUCUAUAGAAUUCCACUGAACCCGCCAUGGACUGUAAGUGUGGGUGUUUGGCAAGGAUGGCGCCGGUAGCGGACACAUGCGUGUACGCAGAAGGUCUAGAGCUCACCAACACAGAGUGGCGCGUCAUGCUCGGGUGCCUGAUGAUAGCCAACAGGGGGUUUCAGCCGCCAUUUCUUCAUCGCCUCACACCCGCAGAUCUACAGGAAAGUUGGGUAUGUUUUUCCCCUCACAAUUUUGGGCAUAAUCUACCUGCAAAUCCACAUCUGAAUAUAUAGUUCAAUCAAUUUGUUCAGUAGUGUCAACAAAAUACAAAACAUAAUUUGUAUUGUUGUUAAGAUUUGUUAGCUAUUAAGACUAGAUGCUUCCACCUAUUUUUCUUCAGUACCACAACACACGAACAAAAAAGAGGGUCAGUAGAUCAGUAUUGCAGUUCUCUUAACAUGCUAGCGAAGUACACUGUAAAUGACCUUGCGGUACAAACAUGUUACAAUAUAAUAUAUAUCCUAGUAAAACUAGAGGUCAAUUCCGUAUAUAAGUUUGUUCAUACAUUGCAACUACUUUAUAAAAAAUAGUAGUCAUAUAUAUGUACAUAUUUAACUCAACAUAAAACAUUCUUUUUCCAUCCUUUCCAAAAUGCAGAAACUGCCAUCCACAGUAAAAUUUCCCGCUCCGAGUUCAGGGAAGGUUACUUUGGAGACAGUACACAAGAAUGGGUAUGGAGACAUGCAAGCUGACUACCACAUCGACUCUGAAGAAUGCAUCAACAUAACUACUGGUUGGAAAUAAUUUGUCUCCCAGAAUGGCUUUGAGGUCGGAGAAGUGGCCAUGCUGUUUUUCUACAAAGAAGAAGACUCCCUGAAGUUCACAAUAUUUGCACUGUAGGCAGUCUAAAUAUGAAGCAAGCCAUCGGUGGCAUAUUUCUAAUGCUUUGCUAAUCUUGUACGCUUUUAAAAUUAUGUCCACCAGACAGUUUGAAUGGUGCCUAUUUAAAGUAUGCAACCUCAUCUGCAUCAUUUUAUCACCCAUUUUUAGACAAGUUGCUGCUGGCAGUAAUGCAGUUCUCUCAAACACAUAGUUGGUCCUAAAUAUAAAAAAGCAGUCAUUUGAACAGUAACAAUGCAAUGCGAAUGGUCGAAACUUUGCAGUUAACAUAUGAUGUUCAAAAGAAUUCUCAUAGUAUUCAGUUCAAAAAAAUUGUCAUAAUAACUAUUCAGCUAACAAAAGCAUAUAAUGGACCAUCUAUUCUAAUAGCACAAUAGAAGAUUAACCAUACUGCUAAUGCAGUACGAAAGUACAUAUUAUGCAGUCCUCUAAAACACAGUAUGCAGUUUAAGAAAAGAGAAAUCUCAUAAGCUGCCAUGACCACUGUAAUACAGCUAAAACGAAGUACACUGCUAACGAAAAUGCAGUGCACUACAGCGUAUGCCAGAACAACAACAAUAAAAUUAAAGCAGUAGAAAUACAGAUAUGUCGUAGACUAACAGAGGUGCCAAUUGAAUCGCACUUACAUAACUCGCCUAACAAUAGUCCAACAACUAAACUAUCGAAAAAUACCCCGCAAAAAACUACAUCGAACACACGGCAAACUGGACGAACAUCAUCAGCUUUUAUUUAAGAAUUGCAAAUCAAAGAAUGAGAAUUAUACCCGCAAUAAAAUGGAUUAAAACCAACAGCGACAGUAAUUACAAGAUUCAAAAACACAUCGAGGCGCAAAAUCCAGAAAAUCAACAAGAAUAGAGGAGCGGACGAAGCUCACCUGCCCACACAACAAAAUUCGCGGGAACUGGAAACUAACUCCUAAAAAUUACACAAUUUCUAGAGUAAAAGGUGCGAUUAAACGAACGAUAUCAAACAAUUCUGACUAACAAACAACAUCCGAGCGCCAAAGAGUCGAUUCCGACACGAACACGAACGAACAGAGAAAAACUCGCCCGCCAAAUCCCUCGAUUUACCAAGAUUUUAGUCGUUUUCCUGUAAAUUACAAGGAAUAAAGGUGAACUGACAUCCAUAAACAAAUUAAAUCAUCCCGCAACACCCGAUUCCACACAGAAUACGCGGGCGGACCACGAGAAAAUGAAGCAGUUCUCCAGUGUAGCAUUGCAGUGCGCGACAUAAAGAAGAUGCAGUUCGCUUAUGUUGAGCAUGCAGUGCGAAAGUGUUAUCAGAAUAGUUAUCCUGAUAAUAUUAUCAGAAUAGACCGGCUGCUGGGUCUAUUAUGAUAACACCCCUUAAGAGUCUUAUUCUAAUAACAACAGCCUUAUUCUGCACAUCCCCCACCAGAUCGCCGCCGCCCCUCCCCUCCCGACCUUCUACCGCGGCAGUGGCCUGGGAGGGCCGCCGCCCCUCUCCUCCCGGCCUUCUUCCACGACAGCGGCCUAGAAGUGUCGUCACCCCUCCCCUCCCGGCCUUCUUCCGCGGCGGCGGCCUGGUAGCGAUGCCGCCCCUCCCCUCCCCGCUUUCUCCCACGGCGGCGGCCUAGGAGUGCCACCGCCCCUCUCCUCCCGGCCUUCUUCCACGGCAGCGACGUCGCCCCUCCCCUCCAGGCCUUCUUCCGCGGCAGCGGCCAAGCAGCGCCGCUCGGCCUUCUUCCGCGGCAGCAACCGAGCAACGCCGCCCGCACCAGCAUAUCGGCCUUCUUCCACGGCAGCAGGUCGGUAGCACCGCCGUCGAACUCCUCCGGGCCUGCAAUUAGCUGUACUUCAUCAGAUGUGGAUUGGUGCUGCCUCGACAUCAAACCAAUUCGAGCAAGGAGGACUGUGCGCAAGGUUCCUUCAUCCACGGCAGCUUCUUGGAUUAAGUCUGCAAUGACCUUCAGAGCAAAUCCUCCGUCUCCGUUCACCUUGAGUAACGUCCAGACCGCUCAUGAACUUCUGAAGGGCAAGUGGACUGCACAGGUGAACGCGAAAGUUGUGCAGACGGACGAGAAGAGAACUUCCUCCUGCAAACGCAAGAAAUCACUGCAACACGAGGUAAGUAGUACACUUCCUCAACCAUAUCAGUUAUUUUAUUCCAGACAAAGCAGUACACGCAGUCCAGUACGCCUAGAAAAACGAUGCAGUGCGGUUGCAUCGGUUCGUUGUGGGGGAAAAUGCAGUGAACUUGCUUGGUUAUGCAGUACGCUUGUGUAGGUUCAUUACGGACAACGAUGCAGUGCGGAUACUUCAGUUCACAUUGCAGGGUGAUGCAGUCAGCAUGCAUUAGUUUCGCAGUACCAUUUGUAACACAUUGCAGUUCGCAUGAUUCAGUUCAUUUUGCCCGACAAUGCAGCUCGGUCAUUUUGUGUGCAGGAAAUGACGUUCAGCAGAUACAAAAUGCGGCGCAUAAUUGACAACCCAGGAAACAACAACUUUCAGAAGAGUAAAGCUUCUUCUGAAAGAGAUACUGGCUGGGUCACCCCUGAGAUUCCUCGAGGAUUCUUCACGACAACAAACAGGGUGCACUACGAGAAGACGUAGUGGAGGAUGACGACGAUGUCACCUUAAUCUGGGAGGGCACUCACCGACAGGAGGAUGAAGAUGACGACGAUGAAGAUGACCCAAUAACAGUUCUCAACCCAGAGUAUAAGCACGAGUUCACUACGUUUGGACAGCAUGUCCGAACAGACAACGAUGAUGCAGUUGAACACAAUGUUGCAGCAGAUGAUGAUGAUGUGCCACCGCUCCAAAAUUUUCAAACCAAUCCACUGAGACAUCGUCACAACACUGGAUUACCACCACGUCCACCUGCUGCACCCCAAAACAGAGCUCAGCGUCCACCUGCUGCACCGAAAAACAGAGCUCCAAGCAGAGCCGCUGCAUCAACUUCGACAAAGCGACCACCAACAGUGCCUCGGUCAAAAGUCAACAACAGGUACAAAUCCUCCUCACUAUUGCCGCCACGAGAUCCUCAACUACACAGAUCUGCUAUAACCACGCCAUGUCCAAUACAACCCGGAGAGCUGCAAACACCAUCGGGUGAACGACUCUACACACAUGUAAGUUUAUGUUCUGAAAAAUAAUAAUAAUAGUUGCAGUACAUUCAGAUAACAUUGCAGUGCACACUGAUAUUUCUUGUGAGGUUUGACCUAGCAUCUAAUACAUUGGAUUCUUCUGAAAACUUAGGAACACUGCAAUGCUUUUUUAAACUCGUAUGGACUCCUCGUAUUUAAAAAACAGAACAGAACAAAUUAUCUCAUAGAGCAUUGCGCUUUAUGCAGGAUAAAAACAUGCCGUUGAACCUCAUACCUGCCGCUGAAAUGAAGUUCACCACAUACGACAAGGCAUGGGACUUUUACAACAAUUAUGCAAGAUGUGCAGGGUUUGGCAUACGCCAGAGGGCACAACACAAGACAAAUACCUACAUUGUCUGCUCAAGAGAAGGGACGCACAAGCAGACUGUGUCAGAUUAUCAAAGGAAACGUCAGAAGACAUCAAAAUGGAUUGACAGCAAGGCAAAGAUUAGGGUCAAAAAGAGGAAGGACGGCAAAUUUGUGAUAGAAAUGGUUGAACUCAACCACAAUCACAAGAUGCUGGAAAGCCCCGGGAUGCUUUUGCACAAGCGUUCGCACAAAAAAGACGAUCCUUUGAUAGACCAGUUAGUGAAAGACAUGCAACUAGACAACCACACACAUGCUCAGAUGAUGUCAACGCUGUCGCGUAUGUCCGGUGGUCUGCAGUACAUGGGACAUACUAGCCGCGACUGGGUAAACAAGUAAGCACAUCACAGAACAUAUCGCUUGAGCAUCCUGUCGGUAAUUAUUUCCUGUUUGAUGAGAUGAGUUUGCAUUGUGUUUGAAAAUGCAGGAAACAAAAGUUUGUUAGAGAAGAGUCCCAAGACGAUGUCAAGAAACUUCUGGAUUUCUUCGAGAAGAUGCGGAAGAUAAACCCAGAGUUCUUCUAUGAUUAUGACGUUGAUGCAGAUAACCGUGUAAGAAACUUCUUUUGGGCCAACGCAAGUUGCAAAGGAUCGUAUGAAGAUUUUGGAGACUGUGUUACAUUUGACACGACGUAUAAAACUAACAAAUUCCACAUGCCGCUGGGAGUCUUCGUGGGAGUGAACCAUCAUCUACAGAGCACCAUAUUUGCUGUUGCCCUCGUGCGAGAUGAGACAAUACCAUUGUUCGAGUGGGUUUUCAAAACAUUUCUGAGGUGUAUGAACAACAAGCCGCCAAUCUGCAUCCUCACAGGUACAAAAAAAAAA